AAGUCGUAACAAGGUUUCCGUAGGUGAACCUGCGGAAGGAUCAUUAUCGAGUUUUGACUGGGUUGUAGCUGGCCUUCCGAGGCAUGUGCAUGCCCUGCUCAUCCACUCUACACCUGUGCACUUACUGUGGGUUUCAGAUGUUAUUAGCAAGGCCUUUACGGGUCUUGUGAAAGCGUCUGUGCCUGCGUUUAUUACAAACUCUUACAAGUAACAGAAUGUGUAUUGCGAUAUAACGCAUUUAAAUACAACUUUCAGCAACGGAUCUCUUGGCUCUC
rnacentral:misc_RNA from 1 species